CCUUCCCCGGGGCACAGCAGGUCCCCGGAGCAGGGGCGGGGGUGACUCUUGGGAGGAGGGGAGGGAGCCGGGCCGCCACGUCGCCGGCCCUGCGCAGGCUGCACGCUCCUCUCCGCCCAGUCCUCCCGGGCCUCCCCAUAGAAGAUGUCCGUUGAAUGAAGACGGGAUUGCUGAGGUCCUGAAUUCUGCUUGUUAACAGAAAGUGAAACAUAAAAAGAAUGUCACUGAGCAUGGGAUAUUCCCUGACAGCCUGCUCUGUCCUAGGCUCUCUGCUGGACAUGAGGAUACCUUUCCCCAAGGAGCUUCCAGACUGAUCAGAUACACCCAUAGACACACAAUUCCCCUACAGUGAAUGUGUGUGAUGAAUGUCUUUCCCUCAUCUAUAGGGGAGUCGAAACUACUCUGCACGACCUCUGCCUCCCUCUCAGCUUUGCUCCCACCUCCCCAGGCCUGAGCCACGCCGAAGCACUUGUGGUCCCCUGAGUGCACAGGCUCACGUCUGCCUCUGUGGGUGUCAGGUGUCGGAUCCCACUCUCUCAGCUCCUAUGGACCCUUCCGGGCUCAGCUCCUUUCAAGGAUGCCUUCCUGGAUCCCACAGGCAAAAUGCAGAAACUGAGAAGAAAAGUGGUGGAAUGGAUUCCCUCACCUAAUAAGAAGCCACAGAGCUAAGAUUCAAAUGUAUGUUCCUGUCCAGAUGAGCCAGCAAACCUGGGCUUCUUUGCCUCCAGUGCUAGAGAAGUACAAGGCAUGUAACGGGUACCAGUAAAUGUGACCCUGGACUAUAAGCUCCCCGAGGGCAAGGCAUUUGGACAACUUUAUUCACUACUGAGUUCUCACACUGAAAGCGGUGCCUUGUGCAGAGGAGGCAGCCAGUAAUCAUUUUCAGACUAAAUAAAUGGAUUUUGCAUUCAUGGCAGGGUUGCCAGCUCUGCCAUUUACUAGCUGUGACCGCAGGCAAGUUACUGAGCUGGAUCGUGUUUCCACAGUUUUCUCCUCUGUAUAUUGCGGUCAAUGGUGAUUCCCUCCCAGUAACUGCUCCAUUACCUACCUUCCUCCGGCUUUAUGAACCCUCUGUCCCAGGCUUACUUGUUUGUACUCUACACUACUUGAAACAGAACAAAAUCCAAAACAUACAACUACAACAACAAAUGGACCUGUGCUUUCUGGACCCCCAUAAGACAUUGUCCUUAGUGAUGCAAAUGUAUGCCAAGACUAAUGUGUUCUCUUCAUCAGAGGGCUUUGCACUUCAGCAAGUGUCUUCUGGAAACAUGGUAAUGUAAUCCAUGCAUAACUGCCUACUAGUAGAAUUAUAGCCAAGCUAUAGGCAGUUCAUACCACUUGAGAAUAAAACUGUAUUACCUUAGCUCAGUGGAAACAAGAUGUGAUCAACUAGUUAUAGCUGCAUAGCGGAGCAAGGGGUUGUUGGAGGCUUAAUUGCCAUCUUGGGCUAAACUGAUCUUCCUAUAUUUUACAGCUGGGGAAACUGAGGUUCCGGCAAGGAAAAAUGACUUGUUUAAAAUCAAAUAGCUAAUAGGUAUCAGAAGCAGCACUUGAUUCCUGGUCGGUCUGAUUCAGCAGAGUCCAGUGCUCUUGCCCUACUUUUCUGACCUUUUCUUGGACCUUUUUGCAGCUCCAAGACAAAGCUUCUUCCCCUCCCCCACCACCCCAAAAAAAGAAAAGAAAAGAAAAAGAAAAGGGAAAGGGGACAUCUAUGGAGCAUCUUCCCUGGUCUGGGCACUCUCUGUGAGACACUUUACAAACAAAAGACUCUUCCCGUUGAUCCUCAUUAUAGCCUUAUGAGGUGGGCAACAUUACCCCCAUUUUACAGAUGAGAAAACAGAGUCUCAGCCCCAUGAUGAAGUUCACCUAAGACCCCAGAGCUGGAGAGAGAAGCCUGUAUCCUCCUCCCCACCCCCGCUGAGGAUUUGAACCCAUACUCCAGGGCUAAAUAGUCUUCCAACCCACAGAUUCAGGACUUAAGCCUCCCUGCCCUCCCACCUGCAGAACCAGCU